AGCCGAAAUAGCUCAGUUGGGAGAGCGUUAGACUGAAGAUUUAAAGGUCCCUGGUUCGAUCCCAGGUUUUGCAA